AUGGAAGAUAUUCGCAGCCACUCAGCUAGCAAUAUUGAUGAGGCAGAGCUUGUGGGCUUUGCUAAGGCUAAACUAGAGUUGAUUGAGAUGGUGGAUGUCAACUCUAGAGAUGGUAUUUGCAAGGUGAUAUGUGUUGUUGGCAUGGGUGGUUUAGGCAAGACUACUCUCGCAAGGAAGGCAUUUGAAAGUAAGGAAGACAUUAAGAACACAUUUUCUUGUUGUGCAUGGGUCACCGUCUCGCAGUCCUUUUCCAAGAUAGAGAUGCUCAAGGACAUGAUUAGGCAACUUUUGGGUACCGAUUCAAUGAAGAAAUGCUUGAAAGAUCUUGAAGGCAAGUCAUUGCAAGUAGAGCAUCUCUCCAGCUACCUUAGAGAAAAGCUGGAGGAUAAGAGAUACUUUAUUGUUCUUGAUGAUUUGUGGACCAUCGAUGCAUGGAAUUGGAUCAAAGAUAUUGCUUUUCCUAUUAGAAACAACAAAGGCAGCCGAAUAAUAGUAACAACACGAGAUGCUGGCUUGGCUGAGCAAUGCACUUCUGAAUCGCUUAUUUACCACCUUAAGCACCUGCAAAUAGAGGAUGCCACAGAUUUGCUACUAAGAAAGAGUGGAAAAAACACAUGA
rnacentral:rRNA from 1 species